GAUGAACGCUGGCGGCGUGCCUAAUACAUGCAAGUCGAGCGAACAGACGAGGAGCUUGCUCCUCUGACGUUAGCGGCGGACGGGUGAGUAACACGUGGAUAACCUACCUAUAAGACUGGGAUAACUUCGGGAAACCGGAGCUAAUACCGGAUAAUAUAUUGAACCGCAUGGUUCAAUAGUGAAAGACGGUUUUGCUGUCACUUAUAGAUGGAUCCGCGCCGCAUUAGCUAGUUGGUAAGGUAACGGCUUACCAAGGCAACGAUGCGUAGCCGACCUGAGAGGGUGAUCGGCCACACUGGAACUGAGACACGGUCCAGACUCCUACGGGAGGCAGCAGUAGGGAAUCUUCCGCAAUGGGCGAAAGCCUGACGGAGCAACGCCGCGUGAGUGAUGAAGGUCUUCGCAUCGUAAAACUCGGUUAUUAGGGAAGAACAAAUGUGUAAGUAACUAUGCACGUCUUGACGGUACCUAAUCAGAAAGCCACGGCUAACUACGUG
rnacentral:rRNA from 1 species